AUGUCCCCCCCGGUACUUACCGUUCCUGAACUCACAAGCUUGACGGCUGGGUUGGGCUGCAGAGCGGACAGGCCGGUGCGCACUACCAAGACACGCUCACAGACGGCAAGCGCAGGGGCUCACACACGGACGGACGGCAAGCGCACGGGCUCACGGACGGACGGACGGCAAGCGCACGGGCUCACACACGGACGGCAAGCGCAGGGGCUCACACACGGACGGCAAGCGCAGGGGCUCACACACGGACGGCAAGCGCACGGGCUCACGGACGGACGGCAAGCGCACGGGCUCACACACGGACGGCAAGCGCAGGGGCUCACACACGGACGGCAAGCGCACGGGCUCACACACGGACGGCAAGCGCACGGGCUCACACGACGGCAAGCGCACGGGCUCACACACGGACGGCAAGCGCACGGGCUCACGGACGGACGGCAAGCGCACGGGCUCACGGACGACGGCAAGCGCACGGGCUCACGGACGACGGCAAGCGCACGGGCUCACGGACGACGGCAAGCGCACGGGCUCACACACGGACGGCAAGCGCAAGGGCUCACGGACGACGGCAAGCGCACGGGCUCACACACGGACGGCAAGGGCAGGGGCUCACACACGGACGGCAAGCGCACGGGCUCACACACGGACGGCAAGCGCACGGGCUCACACACGGACGGCAAGCGCAAGGGCUCACGGACGGCAAGCGCACGGGCUCCGAGACAGUGAGAGGUUUUAUUGUGCUAUGUUGCUCUGAUACAGAGAAUGGAAGUAAAUAUUGGUCAUAACUGCCUCCAGAAUCCCGCCAGUCAUGGGAUAAAGAAGGCAGAAGGGAGGGAUUGAUCACAUCCGCCCUCAAAGGCAAGCUCACAUCGAGAGGUUCCACCACCACCCCCAUUCCGCAGGUCCAUCCUCUCGGCCUCGAAUCGUUUGAAAAAUGCAAGCAGUGGCCCUGACCUUAGUGAUCAGACAAUGAGGACUGAGGCCAGGACUCGUGCAGGCCCCUCGACAAGCCCAGCGGUGGCCACAUCAAGCUGCAGUGGCAUCCAGGGGUGUCUGCUGCAGGCUGGAGUGAAACAGAGGCUCGAGGCUCCAGAAAGGCGUCAGCACGUGGGGCUGUGGACAGAGCCACGUGGAAGCCCUCUCUGAGGACAGCCCGCUGCUGAGAAAGAUCUCCACAGGGAUUCUUCCGGAAUAAAUCACUCACCACCUUCUGAAGAAGACACUGAUACAG
rnacentral:lncRNA from 1 species